GCUCCCAUCGUCUAGCGGUUAGGACGUCGGGCUCUCAAUCCGAAAGCAGGGGUUCGAUUCCCCUUGGGAGCGCCA
rnacentral:tRNA from 1 species